ACCAAUCACUUUCUUAGUCAAGGUUUCUCUUCAUUGUACGGUUUGUAUGGAUUUCAGAUUUCUUAAUACUUUUCGUAUUCAUUAUACAAUAUACUAAUUAUUGAUCAAUAUGAUAAAGUUGCUAUACGCGUAUCUUUGGUUGUGUAGACUGUAUCCUUAUUACUGCAGCUUGAUUCCGUUUAAGUUCAUAUUGCUUGAAAGGAAAAGUUUCCGUGCAAAGGUGCAUCUUUGUCUUCAGGUUUUUAAAGAAUUAAGAAGUUAGACAAUUUUUCGAGAACUCCCAUUUCAUCAUUUGAAGCAAUGGUUGGAAAUAGAAUUUCUACAUUUUACUUAUCCAUUGAAGUGCAAAGAAGAUUGUGAGGAGGAAGGAUAUCGCUCCACUAAAGGAAGGACUUUGUAUUUAUAUAUUAUGUAGUUUAUAUUUUAAUGUAAGUUUCAAUUUAAUUUGUAUGUGAAAUGGUACGAUAUAUUGCAAUGCAAUUUUAUUUUCGAAA